rnacentral:lncRNA from 1 species
GUUGUAGUUCUCACACCACUAACCCUACAGGUCCGAGCGCGAGCGGGGCGGUGGAGGACCGUGGCAAGGGUAUUGCACCAUAGCUAGUGGCCACCGGGACUUAUGCAUUAGUCAUUCCUUUUGCCCACAUGAAUCAACUUUUAUUUUGUUUAUUUAGAAUUGUAAAGUUGAAAACAUAUCAUGUAUUUUGGAGAAUGACGAAAAUGUAAAGAAUUAUGGUUGAAUGGAAAAAGAUGUAAUAGUUUUAGUUCACUUGUAUUUGGUUUAAAUCUAAUUAAAUAUCAUGUAUGGUUAUAUGUUUAGCUUAGAGCUU